rnacentral:lncRNA from 1 species
GAAAGCCCAGUGCCAGCUCUAUGCUCAGGGAACUCAGAUUUUAGCCAGACACCUUUAAUUUCCCCCAAAGGGUUAGGCAUCUCUUUAAUUCUACCUUUCAGCUUGGGUCUAAAAGACAUUCUGUAACUUAUGGCUUAAAAGCCAUGACUUAAAACCCACUGUAUGUUCUCUGCUUCUGGUGAGCCAGUUUCCAAGCCUCGUGCCCAGUUCUGUGUGGUCCUGACCAGCACUGGUGUGGUGUACCCACCAGAGAAGACUGCCUGAACAUGGGUUUAUGCCAGCAGAAAGUCUUUAUCAUUCAACCAGCGACUACGCUGGGUGUUCAAGAUCCAGGUCCUACAAGAGAAACCAUGCUCAGAAGGUGAGAUUACUACCCAAGCACUCCAAGCACUCCAAGCACUCCGCGUGUAAUCACAGAGAUGGCACCGAAGUCAGAGUCCUGAGUCUUAACAUCACUGGAUAAUUAUUAUUGAUGUGUUGGGCAUCGUACACAGUGUUAUUGAGCUCAACUCGUGAGAGAAACUCUCCCAAGAACUGCUCGUAAGGUUCCUGCAGCAGCUUGCAACUUCAGCGGCCUCACCUUAGGCCUGUUGGUGAGCCUGGCAGUUUCUUCAGGAUCAAACGACUGCUGCCUGGUGUCUGCUUGCUGGAAGGACUGAACUGAAGCUGCUGGUUUGUGCCUGGUGUCUGCCUGCCUAGAGGACUGGUCUGCAACUGCUCGGUCGCAUUUGGUGUUUGCUAUGAGACUGAAGUGUGCCCAAGAAGAUGGAGCUUGCCUCCAAAGAGCUACUGCUGAGCAGAACCCCUUCCCCACAUCCUAAUAACUUUCUCUUCCACAACCUCUGCGGGGUGGUGGGCUAGGAGAGGUGGAACCCUUAUUAAAAGUAGGUUACAAAAAAUUUAUGUCUACACAGAGUAUUAAUUAAAAUCUUUGACUUUUAAAAUGUUGGCGUUUAGUUUUAAAUUCAACAAAUACCAUGCAGGUUAAAAGAGAAGCAUCUGUGUACUUCAGUCAACUGUCACAUGAGUCCUGAUGUAGGGUCACCUU